UACAGAGGGGGCAAGCGUUAUUCGGAAUUAUUGGGCGUAAAGGGCGCGUAGGCGGCCUGGCAAGUGGAAGGUGAAAUCCCUCGGCUUAACCGAGGAACUGCCCUCCAAACUGCUUGGCUUGAGACCGGGAGAGGUGAGUGGAAUUCCCAGUGUAGCGGUGAAAUGCGUAGAUAUUGGGAGGAACACCAGUGGCGAAGGCGAGUCCCUGGACAGAUCCUGACGCUGAGGCACGAAAGCUAGGGGAGCAAACAGG
rnacentral:rRNA from 1 species